rnacentral:rRNA from 1 species
AUACGGAGGGUCCAAGCGUUAUCCGGAAUCAUUGGGUUUAAAGGGUCCGCAGGCGGUCAAUUAAGUCAGAGGUGAAAGCCCAUCACUCAACGAUGGAACUGCCUUUGAUACUGGUUGACUUGAGUUAUACGGAAGUAGAUAGAAUAAGUAGUGUAGCGGUGAAAUGCAUAGAUAUUACUUAGAAUACCGAUUGCGAAGGCAGUCUACUACGUAUAUACUGACGCUGAGGGACGAAAGCGUGGGGAGCGAACAGGAUUAGAAACCCUAGUAGUCC